GCGAGGCUGAAGAGCCGGCGGGACAGGGGCUGAUCUGCUGCGGUGUCGCUGGGUGCCUUUUGGAGUCCUCCAAACCUCUAUGGUUAAUUUUGGUCGGCUAGUGGCUGGCCCCCCCUCUGACUCCAAGCAAGCUUUAUUUGUCAGAACACAAUCAAAAUAUCAUACAACACCGCUCCCUGCCAGAGUAAACAAUAAAAGCUGAAAGUCCUUCUCAGACAGGUGAGGCUGAGCUGCACAGAAGACUCUCAGAAGAGGAAAGCUGUAAAGUAGACUCAGACCAGAGCAGCUGCCUGAACAAAGCAGAAACCUGGAAGAGAUUUAGACCAAGUGAGACAACUGGGAAGGACACCGCAGUCCACUCACCUUCCCACAGGCUGUGCAGUUGGGCCAGGUCCCCAGCUUGUGAGCUGUCACCCAUGCUGGUCGAUGAUGCAGCUGUCUCUGAGUCAUUUCUGCUCCUGAUCCCUGUCUGGAGUGAGUAGACGUGUGUUGUCUUCCCAGGAAAUUUUGUCACACGACACCCUUCAAGAACCCACUAUGGCUGCCUAUGGCCAUGACAGUAUAUCUCUUCUAAGGAAGCUCCUCUUUGGACCUGAAGACCUCCUUCUCCCCUUUAGGGCCCCUCCCCCCCAAUAA